rnacentral:rRNA from 1 species
UACGUAGGGGGCAAGCGUUGUCCGGAAUCAUUGGGCGUAAAGCGCGUGUAGGCGGCCUUGUAAGUCCGUUCUGAAAGUCCGGGGCUCAACCCCGGGAGGCGGAUGGAUACUGCAAGGCUCGAGUCCGGAAGAGGCAAGUGGAAUUCCCGGUGUAGCGGUGAAAUGCGCAGAUAUCGAGAGGAACACCUGCGGCGAAGGCGGGUUGCUGGGCUGAUACUGACGCUGAGGCGCGAAAGCCAGGGGAGCGAACGGG